GCCAUAGUAAGGUGGAAUCUGAGGGAAGUUAGAAGCAAACACCUACACUGACGAACAAAUAUUUCAUAAGAAAGGCCGGACUGGAGUGGAUAAGCUUGCUUAACAAAGUGGAGUCCAAUACUGUACAAGAUCCGUCAGGUAAAUGAAAUAGUGACAUCGGUGAUCAGUUUUUGAA
rfam:Dolosigranulum pigrum ATCC 51524 genomic scaffold supercont1.1, whole genome shotgun sequence.